CUUUGUAAACUAAUUUUCAGUAUUUUGCAGAGCACAAAGCGUGAAACCGUGCAUUUUGUUUUUCGACGAGUUUGACAGUUUGGCUCCAAGGCGUGGUCAUGAUAAUACAGGGGUGACCGACAGAGUAGUGAAUCAGCUACUUACUCAACUAGAUGGAGUUGAAUCCUUGACAGGAGUUUGCGUUUUGGCAGCUACUUCGAGGCCGGACUUGCUGGAUCCCGCUCUUCUCAGACCAGGUAGAUUGGACAAACAACUGCUCUGCCCUCUACCCGAUAAGGAUAGUCGAUUGGAAAUUUUACAAAUCUUGUCAAAGAACCUGGAUUUGGUGUCGGAUGUAAACUUGGAGGAAAUUGCUUUUGCCACUGAGUUUUUCUCAGGCGCUGACUUACAAUCUCUCAUGUAUACAGCUCAACUAUCAACUAUUGAUCACAUUUUUGAUGAAGAACAGGUUAUGUCCGCAGAAUUGGAGUCAAAAAUAACACAAAAACACCUGCUAGAAGCGCUGGCUAAAACUAAACCAUCACUACCUCAGCAGGAGAGGUUGAAAUAUGAAAGAAUAUAUGCGAAAUUUCAAACAGGUUCAACCAUUGAAGAUUUCAAGAUGGCAAAGGCUACUCUAGCUUAAAAUUUCGUUCAGAUCGGGUUAUUUUUUACUGAAUCGUUAUGUUUGAAUUUUAUAUAUUACAUUUUUAUUCUGAUUUUUAAUAAAGUUGUUGCAUUAA